GACGAACGCUGGCGGCGUGCUUAACACAUGCAAGUCGAACGGAAGGGCCGGGGUUUGUUGGGGGUGGCGAGUGGCGAACGGGUGAGUAAAACGUGGGUAACUGGCCUUUGGCUUGGGGUAACCUCCAGGAAGCGGGGGUAAUUACGGGUACGAACCUCCGCUGGAAGGGGGGGGGUUGGGAGUUUUCGGCGUUGGGGGAUGGACUCGGGGCUUAUGAGCUUGUUGGGGGGGUAGUGGCUUCCAAGGGCUUGGCCGGGUAGCCGGCCUGGGAGGGUGACCGGCCACAAUAGGACUGCGAUACGGACCAGAGUCCAACGGGAGGCAGCAGUGGGGAGUAUUGCACAGUGGGCGGAAGCCUGAUACGGCAGCGCCGGGUGCGGGAUGCCGGCCUUCGGGUUGUAAACCGCUUUCGCCUGUGACGAAGCGUGAGUGACGGUAAUGGGUAAAGAAGCACCGGCUAACUACGUG
rnacentral:rRNA from 1 species